rnacentral:rRNA from 1 species
UACGGGGGGGGCUAGCGUUGUUCGGAAUUACUGGGCGUAAAGGGCGCGUAGGCGGCCUACUAAGUCGGACGUGAAAUCCCUCGGCUUAACCGAGGAACUGCGUCCGAUACUGGCAGGCUCGAAUCCGGGAGAGGGAUGUGGAAUUCCAGGUGUAGCGGUGAAAUGCGUAGAUAUCUGGAGGAACACCGGUGGCGAAGGCGGCAUCCUGGACCGGUAUUGACGCUGAUGCGCGAAAGCCAGGGGAGCAAACGGG